rnacentral:tRNA from 1 species
GUGGGUGCAAACCGGGCUACAACAGCACUCCGCCGCAGGUCAGCGCAGCAACCGCCCCAAGAGACCCAAGCUCCCCAAGCUCCCCAAGCUGAGAGCGCGAGUUCGAUUCUCGUCACCCGCUCCA